GAUGAAGAACGCAGCGAAAUGCGAUACGUAAUGUGAAUUGCAGAAUUCAGUGAAUCAUCGAGUCUUUGAACGCACAUUGCGCCCCCUGGUAUUCCGGGGGGCAUGCCUGUCCGAGCGUCAUUGCUGCCCUCAAGCACGGCUUGUGUGUUGGGCCUCCGUCCUCCUCCCGGGGGACGGGCCCGAAAGGCAGCGGCGGCACCGCGUCCGGUCCUCGAGCGUAUGGGGCUUCGUCACCCGCUCUUGUAGGCCCGGCCGGCGCUUGCCGACACAUCAAUCUUUUUCCAGGUUGACCUCGGAUCAGGUAGGGAUACCCGCUGAACUUAAGCAUAUCAAUAAGCGGAGGA
rnacentral:misc_RNA from 1 species